rnacentral:rRNA from 1 species
GACUCCUACGGGAGGCAGCAGUGGGGAAUAUUGCACAAUGGGGGAAACCCUGAUGGCAGCCAUGCCGCGUGUGUGAAGAAGGCCUUCGGGUUGUAAAGCACUUUCAGUAGGGAGGAAGGUAGUGUAGUUAACACCUGCACUAUUUGACGUUACCUACAGAAGAAGCACCGGCUAACUCCGUGCCAGCAGCCGCGGUAAUACGGAGGGUGCGAGCGUUAAUCGGAAUUACUGGGCGUAAAGCGCAUGCAGGCGGCCUGUUAAGUCAGAUGUGAAAGCCCGGGGCUUAACCUCGGAAUUGCAUUUGAAACUGGCAGGCUAGAGUCUUGUAGAGGGGGUAGAAUUUCAGGUGUAGCGGUGAAAUGCGUAGAGAUCUGAAGGAAUACCAGUGGCGAAGGCGGGCCCCCUCGGACAAAGACUGACGCUCAGAUGCGAAAGACGUGGGGAGCAAACAGGAUUAGAUACCCUGGUAG